rnacentral:rRNA from 1 species
AUUGAACGCUGGCGGCAGGCCUAACACAUGCAAGUCGAGCGAGCGGCGGACGGGUGAGAAAUGUCUGGGAAACUGCCUGAUGGAGGGGGAUAACUACUGGAAACGGUAGCUAAUACCGCAUACCAUCAGAUGUGCCCAGAGGGGAUUAGCUGGUAGGUGGGGUAACGGCGCACCUAGGCAACGAUCCCUAGCUGGUCUGAGAGGAGGACCAGCAGCAAUGGAACUGAGCCACGGGCCAGACUCAUACGGGAGGCAGCAGUGGGGAAUAGUGCACAAUUGGCGCAAGCCUGAUGCAGCAAUGCCGCGUGGGUGAAGAAGGCCUGCGGGUUGUAAAGCACUUUCAGCGGGGAGGCGUUACCCGCAGAAGAAGCACCGGCUAACUCCGUGCCAGCCGCCGCGGUAAUUC